rnacentral:lncRNA from 13 species
GGAAGUUGCUCAGGUUCAGGUGGAAGUUGCUCAGGACCAGGUGGAAGUUGCUCAGGACCAGGCGGAAGUUGCUCAGGUUCAGGCGGAAGUUGCUCAGGACCAGGCGGAAGUUGCUCAGAAAUGAGCUUCUAUGGGGGCUGCUGAACCACGGCCCCAGGAGAAAGAGGCCUGGGGGGCCUGGCUCCCUUCCUGGAAGACCAGUGGCCUUCAUGGAGGUGGUCAUGGAAGGGUCUGGGCCAGGAGCUCAAGGAGCCUUCAGGCUGGAGUGCAAUGGCGCAAUCUCGGCUCACCGCUACCUCCGCCUCCUGGAUUCAGGCAAUUCUCCUGCCUCAGCCUCCCGAGUAGCUGGGAUUACAGUUCUGAAGGUUGUGAAGUCCCAGGUCAAGCGGCCACAUCCAUCGAGAGCCAUUUUGCUGGCAGGGGGACUCUACAAAGCCCUGAGGCGGCACAGGGCAUCAUGUGCAGGUGCAGCUGAGUCAGCUGGCGGAGCGUUAGGAGCAUGGUUCUGGCACCAGGAUACCUUGGUCACAUCUCGACUGCUACUUUCCAGCUGUGUGCUGGCCGACAAGUUCUUUGACCUGUGCCUUGGCUUCCUCGCUGGUGAAACAGGGGAUACGUGUAUCUUCUCACAGGAUUGCCAUGAGGAUCGACACAUUCCCAUGGUGCCCUGGGAAGAGGGCCUGGGACUAGAAGGCCUGGAGCAGGUGUCACCUCUAUGAGGAGCACCAGCCCCUGGGAAUAGUGUGGAGCCACGUGGUAGGCAGGAAAUGAUUUGUUGAAUAAAUGCAUUAAAGGCUACA